rnacentral:rRNA from 1 species
AACGAACGCUGGCGGCAGGCUUAACACAUGCAAGUCGAACGCCCCGCAAGGGGAGUGGCAGACGGGUGAGUAACGCGUGGGAAUCUACCCAGUUCUACGGAACAACUGAGGGAAACUUCAGCUAAUACCGUAUACGCCCUACGGGGGAAAGAUUUAUCGGAAUUGGAUGAGCCCGAGUUAGAUUAGCUAGUUGGUGGGGUAAUGGCCUACCAAGGCGACGAUCUAUAGCUGGUCUGAGAGGAUGAUCAGCCACACUGGUACUGAGACACGACCAAGACUCCUACGGGAGGCAGCAGUGGGGAAUAUUGGACAAUGGUAGCAAGCCUGAUCCAGCCAUGCCGCGUGAGUGAUGAAGGCCUUAGGGUUGUAAAGCUCUUUCAGUGGGGACGAAGCGAAAGUGACGGUACCCGCAGAAGAAGCCCCGGCUAACUUCGUGCCAGCCGCCGCCGUAACAC